rnacentral:tRNA from 1 species
AAAGAAUUAGUUAAAUUUUAUAACAUAAACAUGUCAAGUUUAAAUUAUUAACUAAUUAAUAUUCUUUU